rnacentral:tRNA from 1 species
GAGAAAUUAUUUUAAUCAAAAAUAUGAAUCUGUCAGGUUUAAGUUAUCGUAAGAUAUUUCUUU